CGUGCCAGCAGCCGCGGUAAUACGGAGGAUCCAAGCGUUAUCCGGAAUCAUUGGGUUUAAAGGGUCCGUAGGCGGUCUUAUAAGUCAGUGGUGAAAUCUCCCCGCUCAACGGGGAAACGGCCAUUGAUACUGUAGGACUUGAAUUAUUAGGAAGUAACUAGAAUAUGUAGUGUAGCGGUGAAAUGCUUAGAGAUUACAUGGAAUACCAAUUGCGAAGGCAGGUUACUACUAAUGGAUUGACGCUGAUGGACGAAAGCGUGGGUAGCGAACAGGAUUAGAUACCCUGGUAGUCCACGCCGUAAACGAUGGAUACUAGCUGUUGGGAGCAAUCUCAGUGGCUAAGCGAAAGUGAUAAGUAUCCCACCUGGGGAGUACGUUCGCAAGAAUGAAACUCAAAGGAAUUGACGGGGGCCCGCACAAGCGGUGGAGCAUGUGGUUUAAUUCGAUGAUACGCGAGGAACCUUACCAAGGCUUAAAUGUAGAUUGACCGGUUUGGAAACAGACUUUUCGCAAGACAAUUUACAAGGUGCUGCAUGGUUGUCGUCAGCUCGUGCCGUGAGGUGUCAGGUUAAGUCCUAUAACGAGCGCAACCCCUGUUGUUAGUUGCCAGCGAGUGAAGUCGGGAACUCUAACGAGACUGCCAGUGCAAACUGAGAGGAAGGUGGGGAUGACGUCUAAUCAUC
rnacentral:rRNA from 1 species